rnacentral:rRNA from 1 species
CAGCCGCCACGGUAAUACGUAGGGUGCGAGCGUUAAUCGGAAUUACUGGGCGUAAAGCGUGCGCAGGCGGUUCGUUAAGACAGAUGUGAAAUCCCCGGGCUUAACCUGGGAACUGCAUUUGUGACUGACGGGCUAGAGUAUGGCAGAGGGGGGUAGAAUUCCACGUGUAGCAGUGAAAUGCGUAGAGAUGUGGAGGAAUACCGAUGGCGAAGGCAGCCCCCUGGGCCAAUACUGACGCUCAUGCACGAAAGCGUGGGGAGCAAACAGGAUUAGAUACCCCCGUAGUCCCUGUCUCUUAUAC